AGAGAAAUAGUUAUUGAAAAACGACAAUUGCAAAAACAAGUUGACCUUUUUGUGUUCCUUGAGCCCAGUCAAGAAGGGCCCUCAUAACUGGGCCUCAUGUCAAACAACAUGUUACAAAAAGAGCUAGGUUCCCGGAUGGCACCGAAGCUUCAUGGGACCUCUCCUUGUCUGUGCAUGGACUAUUGGUCAACUCUGGAGCACAGGCUGUUGCUUCCCGGUCUGGUGAUGAAUCCUCCAUCGUCUGAAAACGAGAGCGAAACCACAGAGAAAAGAAACGUCCCCAGCAUGACGGCCCCACGAAGGAUUCCUGUUUCCUGCAACAUGGGGAGUCUCCAAUAUGGCCGUUUUGGAAACUGGAAAGCAGAGCACCAACACGAUGCUGGUCUUCCACGCUUCUCUGGAAGUUUUUGUGUCCUCGCAGAGCUCGGGAAGCAAACAGACAACAUGAUCACGCUUUCGGGGGCCGGAGAAAGGUGAGCAACCGUCCCCCUUGCAGAGGGCAAAGAAACGUGGAAUCCGAAAUCACGCUUCAGUCGUCCUGAGUGACUCCUGUGUGGAUGGGACUAUCCUCCUCGUGCUCCGUUGCAGUACUCAGUGUGGGGAUGUGUAGUCUGUAAAACAUGUGGGUGAAAAACGGGCUGCUACCUGAGUCUUGGCUCUUUGGUCUUGGAAGAAAUCGCCCAUUCCUUGGGCGAUGGAAUUCAUACGAAUCGCUCCGCGAUGAAGUAACCCAGUCUGGCGAUCCGGAGAGCCAGUGAGUGCCCCGCCGGCCCAGCCCUUAACUCCCACUGGGCGCUUAACAUUUUCCAGGAGCCCGGGGGUCCUGUUGCUCCUGGAGGCAGAAGACUGCUUUUUCUCUCUGCUUUCCUCCCUCUGUCCCUUGCUCCCUCCCUCUCUCUCAGUGUUCCUCCGUCUCCCUGUCUGUCCCUCACUUCCUGUCUCUGUCCCUCCCUACCACCCUAACAACGUCUAUCACUCCGUCCCUGCGUGUCUCCAUUCCUCUCUCCAUCUCUGCCUGUCCUCCCCCGUGGGCGAGACAUGCACCCUGGGUGCAAGCCAGGGACUCCACGACCCACCUGGGUCCGGGGCAGAGGCUGCUGGGAAGGCACUGUUCUCCGUGGGAAUUUUUUCCCCUGAUUGCCUCAACGUCCCCUUUGGAGUCUGGCGUCCUGUUCCCUUCCACUGGGGGACUUCUUGCCGCUUUGGGGUGUCCCCCAUGGGCUAGACAUGCACCCUGGGUGCAAGCCAGGGACUCCACGACACCCCCGGGCCCAGCGCAGGGGCUGCUGGAAGGCACUGUCCUCCAUGGAAGGACCCCAGCCUCGCUGCUUUUAUCCGGUGCUGCUCACCCCCCCAGUCUCGGCGCAGAGGCUGCCGGGAAGGCACUGUGGUCCGUGGGAGUACCCCGGCCCACCGCUUUUUCCCCUUGCAGCCUCAACGUCCCCUUUCAAGCCUGGCGUCAUGUUUCCUUCCCCCGGAGGCCUUCUUGACGCUUUGGGGUGCCCCCCGUGGGCGUGACACGCACCCUGGGAGGAAGCCAGGGACUGCACGACACUCCCAGGCCCAGCGCAGGCGCUGCCGGGAAGGCACUGUCGUCCGUGGGAGGACUCCGGCCGGCCGCGUUUUGCCCCAUGCCGCCUCAAGGUCUUCUUUCAAACCUGGCAUCCUGUUCCCUUCUCACAAAGGCCUUCUUGCCGCUUUGGGGUGCCCCGCGUGGGCGCGACACGCACCCUGGGAGGAAGCCAGCGACUCCACGACCCUCUUG
rnacentral:lncRNA from 10 species